GACGAACGCUGGCGGCGCGCCUAACACAUGCAAGUCGAACGAGCGAGAGAGAGCUUGCUUUCUCAAGCGAGUGGCGAACGGGUGAGUAACGCGUGAGGAACCUGCCUCAAAGAGGGGGACAACAGUUGGAAACGACUGCUAAUACCGCAUAAGCCCACGGCUCGGCAUCGAGCAGAGGGAAAAGGAGCAAUCCGCUUUGAGAUGGCCUCGCGUCCGAUUAGCUAGUUGGUGAGGUAACGGCCCACCAAGGCGACGAUCGGUAGCCGGACUGAGAGGUUGAACGGCCACAUUGGGACUGAGACACGGCCCAGACUCCUACGGGAGGCAGCAGUGGGGAAUAUUGCACAAUGGGGGAAACCCUGAUGCAGCGACGCCGCGUGGAGGAAGAAGGUCUUCGGAUUGUAAACUCCUGUUGUUGAGGAAGAUAAUGACGGUACUCAACAAGGAAGUGACGGCUAACUACGUGCCAGCAGCCGCGGUAAAACGUAGGUCACAAGCGUUGUCCGGAAUUACUGGGUGUAAAGGGAGCGCAGGCGGGAAGACAAGUUGGAAGUGAAAUCUAUGGGCUCAACCCAUAAACUGCUUUCAAAACUGUUUUUCUUGAGUAGUGCAGAGGUAGGCGGAAUUCCCGGUGUAGCGGUGGAAUGCGUAGAUAUCGGGAGGAACACCAGUGGCGAAGGCGGCCUACUGGGCACCAACUGACGCUGAGGCUCGAAAGUGUGGGUAGCAAACAGGAUUAGAUACCCUGGUAGUCCACACCGUAAACGAUGAU
rnacentral:rRNA from 1 species